rnacentral:rRNA from 1 species
AGGACGAACGCUGGCGGCGUGCCUAAAACAUGCAAGUCGAACGGUGUAGCAAUACACAGUGGCGAACGGCGGAGUAAUACGUGAACAACGUGCCCUAAAGACUGGGAUAGCCAGGGGAAACCCUGAGUAAUACCGGAUGUGGCGGUCUCUCGGCAUCGAGAGGUCCUUAAAUGGUUUUUCGCUUUUGGAGCGGUUCACGGCCUAUCAGGUAGUUGGUGAGGUAAAGGCUCACCAAGCCGACGACGGGUAGCGGGUCUGAGAGGAUGAUCCGCCCGAGUGGGACUGAGACACGGCCCACACACCUACGGGUGGCAGCAGUUGGGAAUCUUGCACAAUGGGGGAAACCCUGAUGCAGCGACGCCGCGUGGAGGAUGAAGGGCUAGGCUCGUAAACUCCUUUUUAGGAAGACUUAGGACGGUACCCGUAAGAAUAAGACACCGGACUAACUACGUGCCAGCAGCCGC